GUUAACACUUUGCUAGUCUUCUCUGUUGCAUAGUCAAUAAUCGACCGGUAUCCGGCGAAUAUUCUCCGGCGACAAUUAGCGAUAGGAAGGCAAGGAGAAAAAAUAUUUAAAUUCACCGUGUGUGUCGCGACAAGUGAACGACAACGCGCGAAUUAGCCGAACAAUCGCAAACAGAACGAAUGCAUCUCGAGAGUGCCCGACGCGUGUUCGACUUGGUGAAAAUUCACCGUCGUUGGAGGUGUUUCGCUCUGAAUUCUCAAAUAUUCCUCACGAUACCAGUGCGAUCGCGAAGGCAACAUCCUCGCGCGAAUUAACAGGCGAAAGGUAUGCGGUAAAGUACGGGCACGAAACUGACGUGAAAGCCGCGCUCGGCUCGAUGGCUGCGAACGAACAUUCGUCACGAUGAUCGCCACGGAAGCACAGGCCGUCGCCACUGAACCGAUCGCACCUAUAUAAUCGUUUAGCACCGAUUGAUAAGAAAGACACGCCCUGCGUCACGAUCGUUGCUACACAUCCAGAGCUUUAUCACCGGUCGUCCGCACUAUCUGCACCGACGAAACGGACUCUCUAGCUUUCGUCGAUAGACUCGUAACGGAACGUGGGGCCACCUAGCCGCCCAUCAGACGUUGUUCUUGAUGACUAUAUGUUCUUGCGCACUAUAUAGUUGAAAUUACUCGAAUGGACGCCGUCGUACAAUUAUCGCGCGAAACACAUGCGAGGCUUAAGUGGUUAUUCGCGCGCGAAGACGUCACUCGUACAAAACCCAUAAGAAAGCUCUCUUCGACUUGAACCUGCCUCCAUCCCCACUCAUAAACCAAGCGGUAAAAUGCUGCAAACGGGGCAGUUGCUAAAUGUUUGUCACAUGCAAAUGGGAAAGUGAAGUUAGAUGUUGGAUUGUGGAACUGUUGAAAGUGCAUCUCGCUACAUUGCGCGCCGUCGUCUGGUUUGAAGUAUUCAUUCUGUACCUUCGUCGAGGGACUCUCGUAGCGAAUGAUGAAAUUAAGAGAAAUUAAUAGAAAUCAGCUGCGCGUCAUACGCACUAUUGUCCAUAUGAGAAAGUGUGCCGGACUCUGCGAGCGAACGCGGCGGCAUUCUCGUCUAAUUUACGAUGCAGUUAGCCGCUUGAGGAACAACGCCGCGUCUUAACUCGAUAAAUUCGUCCAACGGUGGAUGACAGUGAUGAUCGUUGUGCCCUUACCUCGCUCUGCGUUUCCAUGGUUGGCGUUAUUGACAAGUUAUAAGGAUGGAGUACUACGGGAAUCACAUCCGUAGCACACCAAAUCUGAAACAAGAGAAAUUACGGACUAGAUAUAGAAGCUUCCAAUACACUGAA